rnacentral:rRNA from 1 species
UACGUAGGGUGCGAGCGUUAAUCGGAAUUACUGGGCGUAAAGCGUGCGCAGGCGGUUUUGUAAGCCAGACGUGAAAGCCCCGGGCUUAACCUGGGAAUGGCAUUUGGGACUGCAAGGCUGGAGUGUGGCAGAGGAGACUGGAAUUCCUGGUGUAGCAGUGAAAUGCGUAGAUAUCAGGAGGAAUACCGAUGGCGAAGGCAGGUCUCUGGGCUGACACUGACGCUCAUGCACGAAAGCGUGGGGAGCAAACAGG